rnacentral:rRNA from 1 species
ACGAACGCUGGCGGCAUGCCUAACACCUGCCAGUCGAACGAGACCUUCGGGUCUAGUGGCGCACGGGUGCGUAACGCGUGGGAACCUGCCCUUAGGUUCGGAAUAACUCCCCGAAAGGGGUGCUAAUACCGGAUAAUGUCUUCGGACCAAAGAUUUAUCGCCUUUGGAUGGGCCCGCGUUGGAUUAGCUAGUUGGUAGGGUAAAAGCUUACCAAGGCGACGAUCCAUAGCUGGUCUGAGAGGAUGAUCAGCCACACUGGGACUGAGACACGGCCCAGACUCCUACGGGAGGCAGCAGUGGGGAAUAUUGGACAAUGGGCGAAAGCCUGAUCCAGCAAUGCCGCGUGAGUGAUGAAGGCCUUAGGGUUGUAAAGCUCUUUUACCCGGGAUGAUAAUGACAGUACCGGGAGAAUAGGCUCCGGCUAACUCCGUG